rnacentral:rRNA from 1 species
GUCCACGCCGUAAACGAUGAUAACUCGACGUUGGCAAUAUACUGUUCAGCGUCCAAGCGAAAGCGUUAAGUUAUCCACCUGGGGAGUACGAUCGCAAGGUUGAAACUCAAAGGAAUUGACGGGGGCCCGCACAAGCGGUGGAGCAUGUGGUUUAAUUCGAUGAUACGCGAGGAACCUUACCAGGGCUUAAAUGGGAAUUGACAGACUGGGAAACUAGUCCUCCUUCGGGCAAUUUUCAAGGUGCUGCAUGGUUGUCGU